GGCGACAUCUUUGUUAUGGGCAAGGUGCGCCAACCGCUUCUCCUGUUUACAAGUGACCCCUGUCCUGACUGGCUCCCCUGAUCCUUAAAGAUGAGAAUCACGGAAAAAGAGAAGUUCGGUUUCACAGAGGUCCCUCUGCCUCAACACCAACAGCCUUACUGCACCCCAUGUGGGGACAGGUGGGCAUGGGAAGACAGAGAAGACCAGAGGGAAAAAGAAGCAAGAUGGUCACGAGAAGACUGAA